GGCUGCGUGGCCCAGUGGUUAAGGCAUCUGCUUUACAGUCCCAUCGCAGAGGAUCGCAGGUUCGAGCCCUGCCGCGGUCA